UAGAUGGAAGCCUGUUGUUUAAGGUGUUUAGCUGUUAACUAAGAGUUUGUAGGCUCGAGGCCUGCUCAUCUAG
rnacentral:tRNA from 1 species